AUUGAACGCUGGCGGCAGGCUUAACACAUGCAAGUCGAGCGGGGAAGGUUGCUUCGGUAACUGACCUAGCGGCGGACGGGUGAGUAAUGCUUAGGAAUCUGCCUAUUGGUGGGGGACAACAUCUCGAAAGGGAUGCUAAUACCGCAUACGUCCUACGGGAGAAAGCAGGGGACCUUCGGGUCUUGCGCUAAUAGAUGAGCCUAAGUCGGAUUAGCGAGUUGGUGGGGUAAAGGCAUACCAAGGCGACGAUCUGUAGCGGGUCUGAGAGGAUGUACCGCCACACUGGGACUUAGCCACGGCCCAGACCCCUACGGGAGGAAGCAGUCGGGAAUAUUGGACAAUAGGGGGAAACCUGAUCCAGCAAUGCCGCGUGUGUGAAGAAGGCCUUUUGGUUGUAAAGCACUUUAAGCGAGGAGGAGGCUACUGGUAUAAAUACUACCGGAUAGUGGACGUUACUCGCAGAAUAAGCACCGGCUAACUCUGUGCCAGCAGCCGCGGUAACAC
rnacentral:rRNA from 1 species